rnacentral:lncRNA from 1 species
AAACAAUAUGCAAGAAACAUAAUUAAAAAAAAAAAAAAAAAUCUUUCUCAGAAGCCAGUGAAUGAUUAAAAGUGGUAGCCUUAAAAAAAAAAGGGUUAAAGUGUAAUAGAUAUAAAUCACCUAAACUUAUCUACUUAGGGACAAAACUACCUUUCUACAAAAAAAUUAAGAUUCACACAAUUUUCGCUCUUACUAAAAAUGACAGCAAACAUGGUUUUGGAAUUUUUUAUCUCGGGAUUUAUAUUAACUUUGAUGAGAAACUGAUGUUAACCACAUGCUUACUUGUAAUAACAUUGGUAUAGAAAUUCUAUCAAAAAAUGACAACCUUUUGUUGCAUCUCUUACAACACACAACAUGGAGGUGGAUGAAAAAUUUCAAGAGGGGAUGUCAUAUAUAGGCAACAGACGGUAAACGGUUCAAGAAAUACAUCAACAAAAAAUAGAAGAAACAUGGCAUCAGAAUUCCAGACAUGAAUGUUCCACAUGUAUUCAAAUUAGUCUGGAAAUUCCCUAGUGUAAAAUGCUAGAAUUGCAAACAACGAAGGAUUAGCUUAACUGAUAAGGAGUAAUUUUUGAGAAGAAUUAUGAGAUUUUCAAGAACAAUUAUGUCCAUACUCAUCAAGAACAAUUAUGAGAUUUUCAUCUUCCUUUUUGACCCAACAGAUGAGGAGUAAUUUUUGAGAAGUGUGAUAAUGCUGAUUGUUAUGACUUCAUAGUAAGACGAUGAUAUAUAUAAAUGGAAUGAACUACAAAAUCACAGUAAAUUUAUAUCAUAGCCCUUUCCUGUAUCACAGCGGCUUGCCUGAAAUCCUGCUUGCCUGAAACACUAAAGAAGUACACAAAAAUAGCCCCGGCCUGGAAUUCUCGACAUUCAACAAGUAAAUGAAAUUUCAAGAACUCCAGAAAAUAUGGGAAGCUUCAAGUUCUGCCAUGACUAAUUUUGGAAUAUAGAGGACAAGUCUUGGGUGGGUUUUAUAUCAUUCAAGUGCUUGUUCGAAUCUUAAAUUACUUAUUUUACCAAAAAGCAUAAUGUAAUGGGAUGUGUGAAACUACAAGUAUGACUUCUUGCAAAUCUAGAUUGAAGGUGCAAAUUUUUUAUUGCAUUUUCUCAUUCUACUAGUGUUUCGAUUCUAUGAUAGAUAUUGUUGCUAGUUGUAAGAAAUGAUGAAUCGAGAUCUAUAAACUUGCAUAAGGUCAAAUUAACAGAAAAGAGAUCUUCUGGUGAAGAAAUCUCGUCUAGAGAUGAGCACAUAGAUAACAUAAAAGCUUCCGAAGUGUCGAGAAUAGCGCUUGGAAACAAUCUAGAGCAACUUGAUUAUUAUCUUGAUUGAUCCAUAAUAGAAAGACAAAAUAAGGAUACAUCCUAAUAGAACUAAAUCUUUGCAAGCCCUCUUCUAAUUCGGCUAUGAUACAUAACAAUGAAGUCAAUAACUCCAGAAAACGAGGCAAGCGGGACGACCUUUCCUAUAUCUUGCCCUAAGAUUUUUAGGUGAUGAGCGGAGAAUAAAUAUCCUCAUGGCCUACAUGUCCAUCUCGGUCGCCAUGCUUGGAUUACUAAAAGUCUAGCAAGAAACAUGGAGAAAGAUCACAAAAGAAUGCAUCCAACAUCUAGCUUAAAUUUCUCAAUAAACAUUCAUAGGGGCAUUGCUCUGCCGCCACUACUACUAUAUUUUGACAUAAUAAAAGUCUGGCAAGGAGCAUGGAGAUGGAGUAAUCUUGACACUUUUCCACCACAUCUAAAACCCUAGAGACUCCAACAUCUACUUUAAAUUUUAGAACAACACAUUUACUAACGGAUUCAGCAGCAAUUCGUACGAAGAAAUUACAGGUAGUAGUAAAACUCUAUAAAUAUAUAAUCUUGGAAUGGGCAUACCUGGAAGACAAUAUCAAAGAAAUUGAUUUGUGGAUAAAGCAACAUUUCACAGCAAUCGAUCUAUAGCAGAAGCCAAAAAUCUUAGAAUUCGAAUUGCAGAUGAAGCCCAAAUUCGCUUCAAUUGAAGAGUUUCAAUUAGGUUUGGGCCAACUAAACAUAUGCAACAAAUGGAGGGAAUGAAUAAUUUUAGGGAUAAAAUUUUUGGAGGCAAAGAAAUUGAGGAAGACAGGCAAAAUUUAAGAGAGGGAAUGAAAAAAUUUGGGGAAAACCUUGGAGGCAGAGAGUA